rnacentral:misc_RNA from 1 species
AAUAAAGCCAACUAUUCAACAAACACAUUUCUCUUGAAUAAAUUUUAAGAACAAUACAUGAAAUGCUACUGUCAAAGGAACCCCAACAUGCCAUUCAACAUUCAGGGAAAAUUGAACACAGAAACUAGGAGACACAAGACAACAGAAGAAUUAAACAAAUAAAAUGGUUUCCUUAUUAUCAAAUCCUCCUCAUAACCACAAACACUAAGCUCACUUAUUCAUCCCACAAACAACAGUACAUAAAUAGUUUACUAAUGUAACUCUCCAAAGUUCACAAUUUUAAAGCCAACCCCCUCAUUUGCAGCAUUGGUGAUCCUCAAUUCCCUUUUAUCCUCUCUAUCCUUCCCAAGCCCAUUCCUUAUCAAACACCAAAUAAUAAAAUAAUAUUAAAAAAAAUCAAAAAGCAAAGAAGAUUUCUCAGUCCUGUCAUUUUUCAUAUCUUAACAGAUCAUAAACACCAGAACUUCCGUGCUCCAAAUUGCAUUCAAGACUUUACCCUCUUUGCAUUAUAUAUUUCAAGAGCCUUCUACGCAUCGAACACAUCAAAAAACCUAAACUGAUCGCAGAUCUCACAAAUUACACAUACAUCAUAUGAAAUUGCAUAUGU